UAAACGUCUUUCGCGGACAGUUGACAGGGCGACAAUGGUUUUGAUGUAGAAAUAAUUUUGUCAUUUAGUUUCAAGUUCCUGUUGUCGUUGCUUACAUUUUAAAAUAUUAUUAGUGUUAACAAAUACUGGUGAAAAUCUUUAUAUUUCACGUCUCUUUACAGCUAGUCAGCAUUGAUAAUCGUUGCUUCGAUCAAGUCCCGGGCAGGUGCGAAAGUGUAUUUUAGUCAGUAGUCAAGACCACCUACAAUAAUAGGUGGUCUUGGUAGUGGCUACGUCUGCUCGGUAUUCCGUACAGAUCCAGAACAAAAAAUUUCGUCAUGUCAUUUAUAGUAUAAACAUGUGGGCAAAUAAUUCUUCAUGAAUAAUCAGUGCAGUGACGUUACUGAUUAUACUCCAUUAAUAUUGUGUUUCCUACAGAGAGUCUGUAGAGCGUUUACCGCUGUUUAUCGCGUUUUCCUUAACUAGUUCCUUUAACGACCAGUUUCUGCAAAAACCAAUCAUCACUGUAACAUUUAGCAGGUGCGGGAAAACCUUAUACAGUGGAAAAAUACCUCGAACUGUCAUAGACCUUUAUUAGUCUAGACAUUGUCUAGAAUAUCUUGUUCAUGCAAACAUUUACUUUGUUUAAGGAUUGCUACAUAGUUUAUGUGCCAUAGUUAGUUGUUUCAGAUUGUAAUGAGAUGGUAACGCUUUUGAAAAUCAUUGUAACCUGUACAAGCAUUAGGGACUAACUCAUCUCUAAUUACGUGUUUUCCUAGUUUUUGCAGUAUCAUGGCGAGAUGUUACAUCACACUGACUGCCUUAAAGAACAGUGUUGUCUAGUGGUCUCUCGUGGUAUGAAUUUUGUAUAGUCGAACAACUAUACUGCAAAGCGAUUAGAGGACCCGUUAGACAGCUACGUUAUGUUGGUUGCAUGCAAAUCAGGAGGAUCACCAUUCAGGUCGUUCAGAUACUUUUGCGCACGAUAGUACCUCUGAUGCAGACAAAUAAGGCAACAAAGACUUUCAUAAAUGAAAGGUGGACGAUAAAUUACAUGUAAUUGUGCCUACAUAAGAAAAAGGGCGACAAUUUCAUGUAAUUACCAAACUUGUAAAUAUGAUAGCUGCUGAAAUGAGAAUGUGGCUUUGCAACAAGGAUUACGUCACAACUUCCAGUGCAUAAAACAUGACAGAGUGCAAACUCCGCUUUGUUUUGCCAAUGAAGUAAAUUUUAACAAGGAAAUGACAGAAAUGUGGCUGUUAGUCAAAAUUCUCCCCUUCUGAGUGAGUUGUUUUCAAGAGGCAGCAAGUUUUAAUUGCUACAAAUAUAAUGAAGGAGCUGGACCAAUGACCAUAUUGAAAAACAUGCAAUUGUACCAAGUUUGUGAAAAUUGACACAUGAACAUUACAUAUACAAGAAUGCAACAACUGGGCAUACAAAGAGAUGGUUGAAAAAUUUCUAGACAGUAUUCAAACUGUGACCACAGUGUUGUCACAAAAACUAAGUUACGUUACAACAAACAAUAGUGCCAACCAAGGAAAUAAAAACUUGCAAGCAGUCGUCAUUCCCUGACGUGAGAAAAAAUCUUUUGUAAUGAACUGUUUUUAGAUGGAGAAAGCAAGCCAAAUAAUACAUAUGUGUGAUUCAUGAAGGCCACUGAUGUUAUUUUAUUUCAGUAAAACAAAACACAUUUGGUGACUAAAAUAGGCAUUUCUUUGGAGUUGCAAGACAGAUUAUUAAAAUACCUUCACUGAUUUCAGAAAUAAGCACAGAAAAAAGUAGGCCUCUCGAAAGAAGUGUAUAAUGCGGGAAAGUGUUGUGUAAACUAACACUAUAGGUGACCGCCAAUAAAAUGUUGGUUCAGCUAUGUCCGUUAUUGUUGAUUAUUACCCAAUCUGUUAUGUCUAUUAUAAGGAGCACCACAGUCCUUGGUCCAUGUAAAAACCACGAAAAUCUGCUGCAUCAGGCCACACACAAACAGACCAGCCUGGGUAAAAGGGAGUCAAGAAUGAAAUUGUCGAGCGGGGAGGGUAGUAACCCUAAAUAUUUUCCCCCCUAAAACAUUUAUCCCUCUAACUUCCCCCUAGGCAGCUUAAUUCCCCCUAAAUUAGGGGGAAAUCCCCCAACUUGGAAACAUUGCCCUGUAGACACAACAACUCCUUGUCCACGAUAACUUUAUGAUUACGCUGGUGCUACCAGAAGCAGAGGAAAUUGGCACUAGUUGAUAGAUAUUCAUUUGUGUCCAAACCUGCCAACGAUAAGUUCCUUACUUCCUUGUUGAUACGAAGUGUGAGCUACGCCUACUGCCACUCCCGACAGCCACUACACGAAUCUUCCAAGUUAACAUAGACAAGUAGCAGCCAUAAAUUGUCAUCCACCAAUAUAUCAAAGGAACA